GAUGAACGCUGGCGGCGUGCCUAAUACAUGCAAGUCGAGCGAUCAGAUGAGGAGCUUGCUCCUCUUACGUUAGCGGCGGACGGGUGAGUAACACGUGGAUAACCUACCUAUAAGACUGGGAUAACUUCGGGAAACCGGAGCUAAUACCGGAUAAUAUCUUUAACCGCAUGGUUCAAUAUUGAAAGACGGUUUUGCUGUCCCUUAUAGAUAUAUCCGCUCGGCUUUAGCUAGUUGGUAGGGUAACGGACUACCAAGGCAACGAUGCGUAGCGGACUUGAGAGGGGGAUGGGCAACACUGGAACUGGGACACGCUCAAGACCCCUACGGGAGGCAGCAGUGGGGAAUCUUGCGAAAUGAGCGAAAGCCUGACGGGGAAAGGCCGCGUGGGGAAGGAGGGUUUCGGGAUCGAAAACCUUUGUUAUUAGGGAAGACGAAAUGUGUAAGGAAAUAUGCACGUCUUGACGGUAACUAAUCAGAAAGCCACGGCUAACUACGUG
rnacentral:rRNA from 1 species